rnacentral:other from 1 species
AACUUCCUGCUGUGUGCGUUUAGGUUUACUUGUUUUGAACCUAUGUCUGUUUCUAGGGAAUCGAACUCUAAGGCAUAUGUCAUGCCCACCUCCGUUUGGAUGAAUGGGACGACAAAAACUUUAGUGAGAUGCCCACCUGCGAGUGCGGGUUCGAGAAACAGAAAACCUGACGGCAUAAGCGGGAUUCCA